rnacentral:rRNA from 1 species
UACGUAGGGUGCAAGCGUUAAUCGGAAUUACUGGGCGUAAAGCGUGCGCAGGCGGUUGUGCAAGACCGAUGUGAAAUCCCCGGGCUCAACCUGGGAAUGGCAUUGGUGACUGUACGGCUAGAGUGUGUCAGAGGGGGGGUAGAAUUCCACGUGUAGCAGUGAAAUGCGUAGAGAUGUGGAGGAAUACCGAUGGCGAAGGCAGCCCCCCUGGGAUAACACUGACGCUCAUGCACGAAAGCGUGGGGAGCAAACAGG